CAGCAGCAGCCGCGGUAAUACGUAGGUGGCAAGCGUUGUCCGGAUUUACUGGGCGUAAAGCGAACGCAGGCGGACUGUUAAGUAGGAAGUGAAAGGUCGGAGCUCAACUCCAACAUUGCUUCCUAUACUGGCAGUCUUGAGUAGCGGAGAGGAAGGGGGAACGACACGUGUAGCGGUGAAAUGCGUUGAUAUGUGUCGGAACACCCAUGGCGAAAGCACCCUUCUGGACGCAAACUGACGCUCAGGUUCGAAAGCCAAGGUAGCGAACAGGAUUAGAUACCCCCGUAGUCCCUGUCUCUUAUAC
rnacentral:rRNA from 1 species